GUGGUUGCUUUGACAGCACACACACUAAAACUGGAAUGAUACAUAGAGGAUGAGCAUGGCCCCGUGCAAGGGUGACACACAGAUUUACGAAACAUUAUAACAUUUA